UACAAAGACUGUAAAUUCUCCAUUUUGUAUAUUAAGAAACACUUCCACUAUAGUUUUCUGAAUUGAAGACAAUGAAAUUGUUUAAUGCAUUCAUGAAAUGGCAUUGCUAUAAAUGAGUCAUCUUAUACUCUGGCACUUACGACCAUAUGUUUUACAUUUUCAAAACUCCAUUAAGCAUAAGCACUGGUACUUAUUCAUACUUAUUCAUAGAGAUCCAUAAAGUAUGUUGCAGAGCACUGCCAUACUUUGUGCUAUUCUAUCAGAAAUUUUAGCUAAAAACAAAAACAAAACAACAAAACAAGCCAACCAAACCUAUCUGGAUCAGAACUGAGUAUGCCAUGACACCUGGGACAUACUGUAGUCUCAAAUGUACCUCUGGGAAUGAGGGUAAGGGUUUCCAAUGACUUUGAAUUUAAAGUUUUCUUUUAAAGCUCCUUCUUUUCCCAGGAGUAAAAUGGAGGCAGGUUCUCGUCAUCAAAAGGAAUCAGAUUGUCCUGUGUGGUGUUGAGGUACAUUUUUUAUAAAUAUACAGAGAAAAGAAUGAGUUUUGUCUAGUAGGUGAUUUAAGUGAUAGAAAUAAACAGUAAAAGACAAUCUUGGCUGCCUUCCUUUUAGCAAUAACAUUACAUUAUUAAGUCCUUUGGAAUAGGGCAUCACUAGACUUAAAUCUCUUAAAUCGGUAUUUUCACCACAGUGCUAAGUGUUUUUCAGGCUUUAUUCACUUCUGGAAUAGCCUUAGAAAUGAUAUAACGGAUUUCUACUUUGCAGAUAGGAAAUGAAAA
rnacentral:lncRNA from 1 species